AAUUAAUGUUUUCCACUAUCCCUUUAAGUAUAGAAACGUUUGUAAAGUGGCUUGGAAAGCAGCACUGUCAUCAUUUUAAUGCAUAAUUUUAAAGAAUUUCAUGUUUUAAACCUUCAUUUGCUGGGGAAUUGGUAAGAUAUGAGGUAUUGCAAAACUUCUGUAGGGCCCAAGCAUUCUGGAAGGUUUAGUUGGGUUUGUGCUCUGUGAUGCUCUGAAAUUGCUCAGAGUCAACAGACUGCACCAGAUUUAUUCCUAGAUCAAAACUGGGAUUGUAACACAAGUUAAUGGGAGUUCACGUUAUCAUAACAGGAGUAAAACUGACCUGUCUUGUAAGUGCCUUUAUGUGACAAGACACAUUUUAGUCAGCCUCUUGAGCUUCAUUUUCUAAUGGCUCACAAUGAAAUGGUCAAAAUAAGCACCCAAUAAGACACUUGUACAGGAGUCAGGCACUUUGCAGAUAGAGAUCAAGCUAAAGAAAUCUAUUGCUUACACAUGCAAGUGCUACAGCCUUGAAAACUGCUCUUCAGAGGCUGGAGAAAUGGGAACGAUAGGCACUGGAAGAACUUCCAUCUAUUCAUUAGUUUUACUGGACCUUGCGUAGUUCCUGUUUGCGGAGGUACUAGUUUUUCUCCACAAUGUUCUCUGGAGCACAAGACAAUGAUCUUUUCCCACCUCCACCAUGCUCAGGCUAAGAAUUAUCCCAGAAUUAAAAAGUUGAUCCGAUUUCAGCUUGCCUCAGCACAUAAACCAAUGCAGUCUAGGAGCCUCCGGAGCACCAUUAAACUUUACUGCAAAGCAGAACCGGAGGGGCUUUUAGAAACCUCAGAGCACUUUGCAUAGAAAUAAUACCUACCACAGUAUUUAGCAGCACGUCUAUUACUGAGUCUGCACAGAGAACAGCAACUUCCCUGAAAUCACAGCACAACUCAGGCCAUGUCUAGACGACAAAGGCUCACCUGCAUAAUAAGCACCACAUAAACAUCACACUCUUGGCCAACUUCAAUACGUUUGCAAAGCCCCACAACAUGAGGCUUUCCAUGCCAGGAGAAAAGAGAGCUGCUGUCAGUGCGAGCACUGUUGUCCAGGCAGGAUGGUUGGGGUACUUACAAGAACAGAGGACUUUUUCUCCUGGCCUAUGCUGUAUCGGCACCUCUGCCAACAUGGUGACAGAGGCACAGCCCCUAACAGAGCUGCUUUACCCAGGAACAGAAUCUCAGCCCACGCUCUAUCAAGAUACUCCUAUGCCCUAAGUGACUGGAGUACCCAGAGGUCCAAAAAUAUUUGUUUCUCCCAAAGAGACAUGAGAAAUCAGGGUUUCUGCAGCAGAAGGGAUUGUGCGUGAACAUGUGUAUUCUGCAUUCACCCUGGGCUGCGUGUACAAAGAACCUGUGAUGUAAAAAGAUCCCUAUUUUUGCAAUUAAUUCCAAACACUUGAGGAGGAGCUUGUCGACAAUCCAGCAACAAACACCAAAAAACAACUUCAGGUCUCACAACAGUUCUGUCUCCUCCUGCAGAGAAUUGGGCUGGUGACAAAUCGAUUUGCGUGAGAUGUCUUUCUGACUUGGAAGAAGUCACCUUUGAUACCAGUUGGAUUCUUCUUUGCUAACAGACCCCAAGUUGCUCUCUAUCUUCAAACUGUCUCAGGUCCCUUGAAAGUGCUUGUAAAAUCCCCCAGUUACAAAGAACACAGGGGCCUAGAGCUCCAACUAUACUACAUUUUUUCCUGAGCACACAGGAAGAGAAAGGACUGAGUGCAUCAGCAGUAUUUUAACUUGCAUCGGUUCAGAGCACACUCAAAGGGCCUGUUUUGCUAGUGAUGAGUUACUGGAACCCAGCAUGCUCCUACCAACCCCUCCAGCCUGUGCCGAGGAGAGCACUUACAGCAAAUGCACUCACUGAUUUCCCCAGUUUGCUAUUCAAGUCAGUUCUCAAACUCCUGUGUGUUAUUUGAACAGCAUAAAGCAGCCUCAGUUGUGAUGCAUCUGCACCAGAAUUUCCUCUGCUAAUCACUACUGAGAUCUGCUGUCAAAUGGAAGUUAUUAGCCCCAUACACUUGCUCCACGAUACAGCACCACAAAUGUGGAAGGAGAAACAGGUACAAUAAAACUCUUCUAUACUCACAGUUUUCAGGUAUGUACAACAACAAAGUGCUGGUGUUUCUAUUCUCUGAAAUCUCCUGAUGCAGCCAUGCUGGCAUGUUGCCUUUAUAAAUGACUCUUUCAAAGGGA